rnacentral:rRNA from 1 species
UACAGGGGGGGCAAGCGUUGUUCGGAAUUACUGGGCGUAAAGGGCCAGUAGGCGGCCAACUAAGUCCGACGUGAAAUCCCCAGGCUUAACCUGGGAACUGCGUCGGAUACUGGAUGGCUUGAAUUCGGGAGAGGGAUGCAGAAUUCCAGGUGUAGCGGUGAAAUGCGUAGAUAUCUGGAGGAACACCCGUGGCGAAGGCGGUUCUCUGGGACGGUACUGACGCUGAGACGCGAAGGCGUGGGGAGCGAACAGG